rnacentral:rRNA from 1 species
CGCUAUCACUCCGUACGGGAGGCAGCAGUAGGGAAUCUUCCACAAUGGACGAAAGUCUGAUGGAGCAACGCCGCGUGAGUGAAGAAGGGUUUCGGCUCGUAAAACUCUGUUGUUAAAGAAGAACAUAUCUGAGAGUAACUGUUCAGGUAUUGACGGUAUUUAACCAGAAAGCCACGGCUAACUACGUGCCAGCAGCCGCGGUAAUACGUAGGUGGCAAGCGUUGUCCGGAUUUAUUGGGCGUAAAGCGAGCGCAGGCGGUUUUUUAAGUCUGAUGUGAAAGCCUUCGGCUCAACCGAAGAAGUGCAUCGGAAACUGGGAAACUUGAGUGCAGAAGAGGACAGUGGAACUCCAUGUGUAGCGGUGAAAUGCGUAGAUAUAUGGAAGAACACCAGUGGCGAAGGCGGCUGUCUGGUCUGUAACUGACGCUGAGGCUCGAAAGUAUGGGUAGCAAACAGGAUUAGAUACCCUGGUAG